AGACAGAGAACGCUGCUCUCUUUAGAUUACAAUCGCCCAUUAGCUCCUUGGCAAGGAUGGUGGUUCUUUCUUCUAUAGGCCAGAGCUACUGAAGGGCCUGGCAAGGCAGGCGGCUCCCACUCAGUGCUCUCCCCAUGGCACUGCUGCUGCCCUGAGUUGAAGAAGCCAUCGUAUCCCGAGACCUCAGUGUGAAUGGCUGCCACUUUGCACCUGCCACUGACCGAAGGGGACAAACAGCCUCCCAGAAUCACAGCCAACCACAGACUCCAGCAGACCAGACAACAGGCAACCUUCCUGCUGUGACAAGAGGAUAAAUGCACACGGGGUUCACUCAGCACUGACUGGAGGAAUUUGAUGAAGACCUCCCAAUUAAAGCAGAGCGCUCCAAGGUCUCUCUCUGCAUAGCGUCUGACUGUGAGUCUCUGGCUGCAUUCCCGUCUGCUGCAGGACGAAGCAUCUGUGAUGCUGGCUGAGCAAGGCGCCAAUCUGUGAGUGCGGACUCAGACUUUAUGAAAAUCAUCUCUCCAAGGGAAAUCCCAACACAUGAGCCACAAGGUCAAGAAGCCUUGACGUUGCCCUGCAAAGUGAUGCUAGGUUAAUAAACCACCAAUUUAAAAUG